rnacentral:rRNA from 1 species
AUCCGCAAGAUGAGAACUCCAUUGAGGGUCGUUGUAGACGACGACGUAGAUAGGCUGCAGGUGUAAAGACGGUGACGUCAAAGCCGAGCAGUACUAAUUGCCCGAGACUUUCUUCUUA